rnacentral:rRNA from 1 species
UACGAAGGGGGCUAGCGUUGCUCGGAAUCACUGGGCGUAAAGGGCGCGUAGGCGGCUUUGUAAGUCGGGGGUGAAAGCCUGUGGCUCAACCACAGAAUUGCCUUCGAUACUGUAGAGCUUGAGACCGGAAGAGGUUAGUGGAACUGCGAGUGUAGAGGUGAAAUUCGUAGAUAUUCGCAAGAACACCAGUGGCGAAGGCGGCUGACUGGUCCGGUUCUGGACGCUGAGGCGCGAAAGCGUGGGGAGCAAACAGGG